CUAAACCACCACCACCUCACCACAGCUUCCUUUUUACUUGUCAUGUUUUUAGUCAGAGAUAAUCAGCCCAUGACCUGGGGGUCUUGAUAUGUGAUCUACACAAUGCUAACAUACAGAAGAGGCAGCCACGUUUGGAGGCCCUAUGAUGUCCUGGGUGCCUGUUCUGAGCAGCGUGUUCACGUGUGCUGUCUCAUCGUUCUUCUCAACUGCAGGGAGGCUUGGAGGUGAAGAGAUAUGCAGCCGUGUCACAUGGUGUCAUAAGUGGUGGAAUGAGAUGACCCCAAAGCCCUGCUCUGAUUACCAGAUUCCCUUUGCCCCAGCACCAAAGCAGAGGAGACCCAGAAGGAUAAGCCAGAGCAUUGGAGAGCUGGGUUCCCACCCCAACAGUAAGGGCUGUUGUGAGGAUUAAAUGACGCCGUGCAGAUGAAGCAAUGGCACCUACCAAGCACUGACAAGAGGGUCACCACUGGGCCCCCAGGGGGCUCUCUGGGGCAGACCUCCGCUCCAGGCCACUCGGACACCUUGUCGCCCAAGCCUGCAGGGCUCGCUGCAGCUCCCGGCCUUUGUCCAGCUGGGUUCCCUGGGUCGCAAGGGCCUGCACAGAGACCCGGCCGCACUCUUCCCACGGGAGGCCUUUCCAUCCUCACUGUCUCCGCCAGGCCCCCAGCCCUGCGUGUGUUUUCUCUCUGUAAUGCUCCCUGGUGCUCUAUGGUGUGUGUACCACAUGCUCAACACUGCUGGGGGCUGGGCUCUUCCUGUUGCCCCCGUUCUGCCCGCAGCUGGACAAGGCAGCCGCCCUCUCACUCAUCACAGGUGGAAACCCAAGUCGGAGCCUGCAGGUUCCUGACCACCCAGCAGUGGGGGCUGGGCUCACCUUCGAUCCUGACUCUUGCCCCAGCACUUUCUGCUCAGGGCUGCCCACUUGGGCCUUCUGAUAAAGGAAGAGAAUGAAGGAGGCCGAGGGAGCAGACCCAGCUCUGAGGAAGCAGACACCCAGUGAAUCCUAAAAGGAAUCAACCCUGAUUAUUCAUUGGAAGGACUGACUGAUGCUGUAGAUGAAGCUUUGAUACUUUGGCCACCUGGUACAAAGAGCCGACUCACUGGAAAAGUCCCUGAUGCUGGGAAAGAUUGAAGGCAGGAGGAGAAGGGGAUGACAGAGGACAAGAUGGUUGGAUGUCAUCACUGACUCAAUGGAAAUGAGUUUGAGCAGGCUCUGGGAGCUGGUGAUAAACAGGAAGGCCUGGCGUGCUGCAUUCCAUGGGGUUGCAAAGAGUCUGACAUGACUGCGCGACUGAACAACAAUCAGGCC
rnacentral:lncRNA from 1 species